GAUGAACGCUGGCGGCGUGCCUAAUACAUGCAAGUCGAGCGAACGGACGAGAAGCUUGCUUUUCUGAUGUUAUCGGCGGACGGGUGAGUAACAUGUGGAUAACCUACCUAUAAGACUGGGAUAACUUCGGGAAACCGGAGCUAAUACCGGAUAAUAUUUUGAACCGCAUGGUUCAAAAGUGAAAGACGGUCUUGCUGUCAGUUAUAGCUGGAUCCGCGCUGCAUUAGUUAGUUGGCAAGGUAACGGCUUACCAAGGCAACGAUGCAAAGCCGACCUGAGAGCGUGGUCGAGCACACGGGAACUGAGACAGGGUCCAGACUCCUGCGGGAGGCAGCAGUAGGGAAUCUUACGCAAUGGGCGAGAGCCUGACGGAGCGACACCGCGUGAAGGAUGAAGGUGUUCGGAUCGUAGAACUCUGUUAUUAGGAGGGAACAAAUGUGUAAGUAACUGUGAACAUCUUGACGGUACCUAAUCAGAAAGCCACGGCUAACUACGUG
rnacentral:rRNA from 1 species